GGCUUCAUCAGCGAGAUGCCAGGCAUGGUGCCAAAUGACUUCGCUGACAUUGACCUGUUCGCUGAAGAAGAGGCCGUCGAUGUGGUAAUCGGAUCCUCAAGAGAUGAUGGAAAGAUGUAUGCUGGAUCCGGGAAGUGGAUUGACAAGGCAGCAUGGGGGACACUGUUCCGGGCGUCGGGCGACUCCAUGUUUUGUCG